rnacentral:rRNA from 1 species
UACGGAGGGUGCAAGCGUUAAUCGGAAUUACUGGGCGUAAAGGGUGCGUAGGUGGUUAAGUAAGUUAUCUGUGAAAUCCCUGGGCUCAACCUGGGCAGGUCAGAUAAAACUGUUUAACUCGAGUAUGGGAGAGGGUAGUGGAAUUUCCGGUGUAGCGGUGAAAUGCGUAGAGAUCGGAAGGAACACCAGUGGCGAAGGCGGCUACCUGGCCCAAUACUGACACUGAGGCACGAAAGCGUGGGGAGCAAACAGG